rnacentral:rRNA from 1 species
CUUACCUGGUCUUGACAUCCACAGAACUUAGCAGAGAUGCUUUGGUGCCUUCGGGAACUGUGAGACAGGUGCUGCAUGGCUGUCGUCAGCUCGUGUUGUGAAAUGUUGGGUUAAGUCCCGCAACGAGCGCAACCCUUAUCCUUUGUUGCCAGCGGUCCGGCCGGGAACUCAAAGGAGACUGCCAGUGAUAAACUGGAGGAAGGUGGGGAUGACGUCAAGUCAUCAUGGCCCUUACGACCAGGGCUACACACGUGCUACAAUGGCGCAUACAAAGAGAAGCGACCUCGCGAGAGCAAGCGGACCUCAUAAAGUGCGUCGUAGUCCGGAUUGGAGUCUGCAACUCGACUCCAUGAAGUCGGAAUCGCUAGUA